AGCCAACAAGCUAGCCCCUCCCUAACAAAUCAAUAACCCAAUAUAUAUAACCCCUAACACCCCACCCACCCAAUAAACAAACCAUUUUUCCCCCCAAGUAUGGGCGACAGAAAAG
rnacentral:rRNA from 1 species